AUACGUAGGGGACGAGCGUUGUCCGGAAUUACUGGGCGUAAAGGGCGCGCAGGCGGAUAUUUAAGUCAGCUGUAAAAGGCAUGAGCUCAACUCAUGUAUGCGGUUGAAACUGGGUAUCUAGAGUGCUGGAGAGGUAGGCGGAAUUCCCGGUGGAGCGGUGAAAUGCGUAGAUACCGGGAAGAACACCAGUGGCGAAGGCGGCUUACUGGCCAGCAACUGACGCUGAGGCGCGAAAGCCAGGGGAGCGAACGGGAUUAGAUACCCCGGUAGUCCUGGCCGUAAACGAUGAAUGCUAGGUGUGGGUGUCGAGAGGCAUCCGUGCCGGAGUUAACGCGAUAAGCAUUCCGCCUGGGGAGUACGAUCGCAAGAUUGAAACUCAAAGGAAUUGGCGGGG
rnacentral:rRNA from 1 species